GUGCCAGCAGCCGCGGUAAUACGAAGGGGGCGAGCGUUGUUCGGAAUCACUGGGCGUAAAGGGCGCGUAGGCGGCCUCCCCUGUCGCGUGUGAAAGCCCCGGGCUCAACCUGGGAACGGCGCGCGAGACGGGGGGGCUGGAGUUCGGGAGAGGAGCGUGGAAUUCCCAGUGUAGAGGUGAAAUUCGUAGAUAUUGGGAAGAACACCGGUGGCGAAGGCGGCGCUCUGGUCCGAGACUGACGCUGAGGCGCGAAAGCGUGGGGAGCAAACAGGAUUAGAUACCCUCGUAGUAC
rnacentral:rRNA from 1 species